CAGGAGUAAUGGCCUCCCUAAUGUGAGUGCCUAGGGUGAGCCAAAGAAGCAAUGGAGUUUGCAUAGUCUCUGCCAUGGAUGCGAAAUGGUUCACUGAAAUUCAAUGGAUUGUUUUACAGUAAUUGCACACAAGUUGGAGAAACAUUUCUGUGUGAUGGGUGCAACGGUACUCCCUCUCGCAGAAUUGGUGCGCGAUUCACUAAUCUUUGUAGAUCCGGCACACAUGAGGGACGGGUGCAUUCACGCCCGUCUCUAAGAGGCUAUGAAGCUUUGACCGCCAUGGUGGGAGGAAGGAAACACAGCAAGACAUCCCUAUAGGGUGGAGCAUAAGCCGGAGUAUCCAAUAAGAGAUAAGGAAGAUGACAUCUGUUACUCUUCCCUUACAAUUUGCUUUGGCACCCCACCAUAUGAUUUCACUUUUUUCACCAUCUUCAUUUCACGUUGAACAACAUGGAUAGUGUCAUUAAUUAUGUGACCAUAACUCAACUUUUCUAUGCAAGACUCACUUUAACCGUCAUUA